rnacentral:lncRNA from 1 species
UCCUUCACUCUUAGGUUUGAUGUAUCUGUUGUAUUCUACCUCAGCCUUUAGGUCAAUGAGUGAAAUGAGAUCGACCUUGUUCUUGGGUUUAGGUUCUUGAUCAAGAACUGAAUCAAGAUUAUUGGGUUUGUCUUCUUGUGCAAGAGCAUCAUACACCUUUUCAUCUUCACUUUGAAAAAUCUUAGUCCGAUCAUGGGGAACUCUAUUUCUGGCAAUCACUCCGGCAAAAGUGUCAUCCUUUUUGGAACCCAUUUCUCCACCUUUAUCACCAAGAAACGAAUCAAGAUUCUUGGCGUUGUGUUCUUGAUCAAGAACUGUAUCAAGAUUCUUGAGUCUGCGUUCUUGCUCAACAACAUCAUACUCUUCUCCAUCGGAAAUCAUAUCUCCGGCGGUCUUUCCAGCGAGAGUAAAAUAUUUUCGAGAACCCAUUUCUCCAUCUU